CCCUUAGAUGUUCUGGGCUGCACGCGUGUUACAAUCGGGAGUACAACAAGAUUGCAAAUCCUAGUGGAUGAGUGGUUCCUCGAAAUUUUCUGAAGACUGGGAUAGUUGAUUGAAAUUAUUCAACUCAAACGAGGAAUUCCUUGUAAUUGUAAUUCAUUAUAUUGUAAUGAAUACGUCCCUGCCCUUUGUACACACCGCCCGUCGCUCCUACCGAUUGAACGAUCCGGUGAAUUAUUUGGAGUAGCUCUGGAAGUUGCAGAACUUCCUAUGUCACGAAAUUUUGUAAACCUUAUCGUUUAGAGGAAGGAAAAGUCGUAACA
rnacentral:rRNA from 1 species